UGAUGAUGAUGAUGAUGAUGAUGAUGAUGACAAUGAUGGUGCUGUUGCAGUGGAUGAUCAUCAGUAUCAUAAUCAUCAUCAUCAUCAUCAACAACA
rnacentral:pre_miRNA from 13 species